CCUACGGGUGGCAGCAGUGAGGAAUAUUGGUCAAUGGACGAGAGUCUGAACCAGCCAAGUAGCGUGAAGGAUGACUGCCCUAUGGGUUGUAAACUUCUUUUAUAUGGGAAUCAAACGUUCCACGUGUGGGAUUUUGUAUGUACCAUAUGAAUAAGGAUCGGCUAACUCCGUGCCAGCAGCCGCGUUAAUACGGAGGAUCCGAGCGUUCUCCGGAUUUAUUGGGUUUAAAGGGAGCGUAGGUGGAUUGUUAAGUCAGUUGUGAAAGUUUGCGGCUCAACCGUAAAAUUGCAGUUGAAACUGGCAGUCUUGAGUACAGUAGAGGUGGGCGGAAUUCGUGGUGUAGCGGUGAAAUGCUUAGAUAUCACGAAGAACUCCGAUUGCGAAGGCAGUUCACUGGACUGCAACUGACACUGAGGCUCGAAAGUGUGGGUAUCAAACAGGAUUAGAUACCCCUGUAGUC
rnacentral:rRNA from 1 species